GACGAACGCUGGCGGCGUGCUUAACACAUGCAAGUCGAACGCUGAAGACCUGGCUUUUGUUGGGUUGGAUGAGUGGCGAACGGGUGAGUAACACGUGAGUAACCUGCCCUCUUCUUUGGGAUAACGCCCGGAAACGGGUGCUAAUACUGGAUAUUCACUGAUCUUCGCAUGGGGGUUGGUGGAAAGGUUUGUUCUGGUGGGGGAUGGGCUCGCGGCCUAUCAGCUUGUUGGUGGGGUGAUGGCCUACCAAGGCUUUGACGGGUAGCCGGCCUGAGAGGGUGCCCGGUCACAUUGGGACUGAGAUACGGCCCAGACUUCUACGGGAGGCAGCAGUGGGGAAUAUUGCACAAUGGGCGAAAGCCUGAUGCAGCGACGCCGCGUGAGGGAUGGAGGCUGUCGGGUUGUAAACCUCUUUCGCUCAUGGUCAAGCCGCAACUGUGGGUUGUGGUGAGGGUAGUGGGGAAAGAAGCGCCGGCUAACUACGU
rnacentral:rRNA from 1 species